UGCUCUUGGGUUGCAAUUUGCGAUGUGAUCUCAUUUGGCUUUACAAGCUGAGUAGGAGCAUCAAGGCCGGGAUUAUCACCAUCAUUACUCAAAACUAUAGAAAUUUAUCUCUCAGAACUUUUAUUCGACUGCAUUGAGGCGUUUAAAUUUGCAUUUUGACUGGAUUCUACAUUAGCUACCAUAGAAUUACCGCUUUCGUUUUCCUCAUUACCGGCAUCAUAAUUUGACGC